UACGUAGGGUCCGAGCGUUGUCCGGAAUUAUUGGGCGUAAAGGGCUCGUAGGCGGUUCGUCACGUCGGGAGUGAAAACUCGGGGCUUAACCCCGAGCCUGCUUCCGAUACGGGCAGACUAGAGGUAGGCAGGGGAGAGCGGAACUCCUGGUGUAGCGGUGGAAUGCGCAGAUAUCAGGAAGAACACCGGUGGCGAAGGCGGCUCUCUGGGCCGAUACUGACGCUGAGGAGCGAAAGCGUGGGGAGCGAACAGG
rnacentral:rRNA from 1 species